GAUGAAGAACGUAGCGAAAUGCGAUAAGUAAUGUGAAUUGCAGAAUUCAGUGAAUCAUCGAAUCUUUGAACGCACAUUGCGCCCACCAGCACUCUGGCGGGCAUGCCUGUUCGAGCGUCAUUUCAACCAUCAAGCCCCCAGGGGCGUGUGCUGGGGCCCUGCGGCUGCCCGCAGGCCCUGAAAACCAGUGGCGGGCUCGCUAGUCACACCGAGCGCAGUAGCACAUCUCGCUCAGGGCGUGCGGCGGGCUCCUGCCGUGAAACCCCCCACUGUAACCCCAAAGGUUGACCUCGGAUCAGGUAGGAAUACCCGCUGAACUUAAGCAUAUCAAUAAGCGGAGGA
rnacentral:misc_RNA from 1 species